GUCGAGAGGCUUCGGCAAUGGGGGCAACCCUGACCGAGCGACGCCGCGUGCGGGAUGAAGGCCUUCGGGUUGUAAACCGCUGUCAGGAGGGAAGAAUCCCCCCGGGAUAACACCCCGGGGGUUGACGGUACCUCCAAAGGAAGCUCCGGCUAACUCCGUGCCAGCAGCCGCGGUAAUACGGAGGGAGCGAACGUUGUUCGGAUUCACUGGGCGUAAAGGGCGUGUAGGCGGUCUGGCAAGUCGGGGGUGAAAUGCCGCGGCUCAACCGUGGAAUUGCCUUCGAAACUGCCGGACUUGAGGCCGUGAGAGGAGACUGGAAUUCCCAGUGUAGCGGUGAAAUGCAUAGAUAUUGGGAAGAACACCAGUGGCGAAGGCGAGUCUCUGGCACGGAUCUGACGCUGAGGCGCGAAAGCUAGGGGAGCAAACGGGAUUAGAAACCCGUGUAGUCC
rnacentral:rRNA from 1 species